rnacentral:rRNA from 1 species
UACGUAGGGGGCAAGCGUUGUCCGGAUUUAUUGGGCGUAAAGCGCGCGUAGGCGGCGCGGUAUGUCGUGCGUGAAAUCUCCCGGCUUAACUGGGAGGGGCCGUGCGAAACUGCCGGGCUUGAGGUCGGAAGGGGAAAGUGGAAUUCCGGGUGUAGUGGUGGAAUACGUAGAUAUCCGGAGGAACACCAGCGGCGAAGGCGGCUUUCUGGUCCGAUACUGACGUUGAGGUGCGAAAGCGUGGGGAGCGAUCCGG